UACAGAGGGUGCGAGCGUUGUCCGGAAUCACUGGGCGUAAAGGGCGCGUAGGCGGGUUCCCAAGUCGGUGGUGAAAUCUUUCGGCCCAACCGGAAAACAGCCGCCGAUACUGGGAGUCUUGAGGGAGGUAGGGGUCGAUGGAACUUCCGGUGGAGCGGUGAAAUGCGUAGAUAUCGGAAGGAACGCCGGUGGCGAAAGCGAUCGACUGGACCUUUUCUGACGCUGAGGCGCGAAAGCCAGGGGAGCAAACAGG
rnacentral:rRNA from 1 species